GACGAACGUUGGCGGCGUGCUUAACACAUGCAAGUCGAACGGUGAAGCACCUUCCUUUUGGUGGGUGUGGAUGAGUGGCGAACGGGUGAGUAACACGUGAGUAACCUGCCCCCUUCUUCUGGAUAACCGCAUGAAAGUGUGGCUAAUACGGGAUAUUCUGUGCCUGCUGCAUGGUGGGUGUGGGAAAGAUGCGCUUUUGGGUGUUUUUGGUGGGGGAUGGGCUCGCGGCCUAUCAGCUUGUUGGUGGGGUGAUGGCCUACCAAGGCGGUGACGGGUAGCCGGCCUGAGAGGGUGGACGGUCACACUGGGACUGAGACACGGCCCAGACUCCUACGGGAGGCAGCAGUGGGGAAUAUUGCACAAUGGGCGCAAGCCUGAUGCAGCGACGCCGCGUGAGGGAUGGAGGCCUUCGGGUUGUAAACCUCUUUCGCCAGUGAAGCAGGCCUGUCCCUUGUGGGUGGGUUGACGGUAGCUGGAUAAGAAGCGCCGGCUAACUACGUG
rnacentral:rRNA from 1 species